CCUACGGGGGGCAGCAGUGAGGAAUAUUGGUCAAUGGGCGCUAGCCUGAACCAGCCAAGUAGCGUGAAGGAUGACUGCCCUCUGGGUUGUAAACUUCUUUUAUAUGGGAAUAAAGUGCAGUAUGUAUACUGCUUUGCAUGUACCUUAUGAAUAAGGAUCGGCUAACUCCGUGCCAGCAGCCGCGGUAAUACGGUGGAUCCGAGCGUUAUCCGGAUUUAUUGGGUUUAAAGGGAGCGUAGGCGGGUUGUUAAGUCAGAUGUGAAAGUUUGGGGCUCAACCGGAAAAUUGCAGUUGAUACUGGCAACCUUGAGUACAGUAGAGGUAGGCAGAAUUCGUGGUGUAGCGGUGAAAUGCUUAGAUAUCACGAAGAACUCCGAUUGCGAAGGCAGCCUGCUGGACUGAAACUGACGCUGAUGCGCGAAAGUGUGGGUAGCAAACAGGAUUAGAUACCCUAGUAGUC
rnacentral:rRNA from 1 species